rnacentral:lncRNA from 1 species
AUGAAGGGACGGCUGGUGUUUCUGUUGCUGCCGUUGAUCUGGGCGGAGGGGGCCCCCUUGGAGGGUGAUUGUUUGCAGAACAUAAUUGGCCUUAAAGGAAAAGAUGCUCUCUUGGCGCCAGUAGUUAUUGGCACCCCGACGUAUAUUACCUGGAAAAAAGAAGAAAACAUAGUGCAUGAGUGGAAUGGGACCUCUGAUCAUUCAAAUGGCAACUUGAUUAUCAAAAAUGUGUCACACAGUGAUGAUGGACUUUACACAGCAGAAAUACAAAUGGGAACUAAAUUAGAAUACUGUCAUUUCUGUCUGAAAAUAUUAGAAUAUCUAGAACCACCUGUUUUAUACUGUUCGGACCACAGUGAUGACAUCCAGGUAAACUGUGCAUCACCUCCACAGAACUACUCCCACAAUCUACCUGUGUCAUACCAUUGGGAACACACAGGAGAGGUUAUUGAUCAUGGACUGCAGUCUAUUAAACUAUCGAAGAAUGAAGGCCUUCCUGAGAAAAUUACAUGCAUUAUUCACAUAUACAAUGUACAUGCCAGUAGCUCCAUUGCGUUAACUGAAUGUCUUUCAAUAGAAUCUGAUCAAGGGCGAAGUCGACCAGCACUGAUUGGGGUGUUUGGGGUUCUGGUGAUCGUAUUGCUUGUAUUUGGUCUGUGGAAGAAAGAUCGUUUAACACAUUGGCUGAAUACCAGGAAGCAGAAAAGACAAGAAGAUCCAGGCAAUGCUGAUGUUCCACUGAAUGAAAUGCUAACCGAUAAUGGUCCCAGAUGUGUAUCAGAGGAUUUAAAAGAUAACAGGAGCGAAGACACUGGUGACGAUGUUCCACUGAAUGAAACACCUGAUGACUCCAAAUGUGUACUAGAGAAUUCGAAAGAUGACAGGAGGGAAGAUCGUUUAACACAUUGGCUGAAUACCAGGAAGCAGAAAAGACAAGAAGAUCCAGGCAAUGCUGAUGUUCCACUGAAUGAAAUGCUAACCGAUAAUGGUCCCAGAUGUGUAUCAGAGGAUUUAAAAGAUAACAGGAGCGAAGACACUGGUGACGAUGUUCCACUGAAUGAAACACCUGAUGACUCCAAAUGUGUACUAGAGAAUUCGAAAGAUGACAGGAGGGAAGGCAAUGCUGAAGAUGUUCCACUGAAUGAAACACCUGAUGACUCCAAAUGUGUACUAGAGAAUUCAAAAGAUGACAGGAGGGAAGGAAAUUCUACAACUGCAAAAGCUUAAAGACUGAAAAGGAGUUGGCACAGAUUAAAAGACUAGUGUUGGGCCAUGGAACUUUGCAGCAGCAGCACAGGCAAUGGUGGAGUCCUUUGAACAUUGGAGACAAGAGUUUGAAUUCCUGCUUGGUCAUUAA